GCUCAACCGAAGAAGUGCAUUGGAAACUGGGAGACUUGAGUGCAGAAGAGGACAGUGGAACUCCAUGGGUAGCGGUGAAAUGGGUAGAUAUAUGGAAGAACACCAGUGGCGAAGGCGGCUGUCUGGUCUGCAACUGACGCUGAGGCUCGAAAGCAUGGGUAGCGAACAGGAUUAGAUACCCUGGUAGUCCAUGCCGUAAACGAUGAUUACUAAGUGUUGGAGGGUUUCCGCCCUUCAGUGCUGCAGCUAACGCAUUAAGUAAUCCGCCUGGGGAGUACGACCGCAAGGUUGAAACUCAAAAGAAUUGACGGGGGCCCGCACAAGCGGUGGAGCAUGUGGUUUAAUUCGAAGCUACGCGAAGAACCUUACCAGGUCUUGACAUCUUCUGACAGGGGGGGGAGAUUAGAGGUUCCCUUCGGGGACAGAAUGACAGGUGGUGCAUGGUUGACGUCAGCUCGUGUCGUGAGAUGUUGGGUUAAGUCCCGCAACGAGCGCAACCCUUAUUACUAGUUGCCAGCAUUAAGUUGGGCACUCUAGUGAGACUGCCGGUGACAAACCGGAGGAAGGUGGGGACGACGUCAAAUCAUCAUGCCCCUUAUGACCUGGGCUACACACGUGCUACAAUGGAUGGUACAACG
rnacentral:rRNA from 1 species